rnacentral:lncRNA from 1 species
AUGAAAACAUCCCAAUAUGAAUAUUUUAAUACUUUAAUUGUCCUGUAUAAUCUUCUGUUAUGCUGUGUUUACAGGUGCGGCUCAAGAACCAUCCGUCAAUCACUUAAGGCAACAAAGGACUGGUCGCUGCUGCAGUGUAAAGUUCAUGGCAAUCCAGAACCUGAAGUAGAGUGGCAGGACAGUGCUGGAAACAUUCUUAAUGCUGAGGAGCCACAGGUCGAAAAAAUAGGAGACCUUUUCUACAUCACUCUCAACACUACUGUGACCAAGACCGACCUCUAUCGCUGUGUAGCAACACAGGAGACAAUCAGUCAUCAGGUUUCUGCUGAGACUGAUGUGCAUAUAAGUGGUACUCUACAGCUAUCUGUCAAGAUUGUUAGUCAAACUAACGACAGGGCUCUGCUGCAGUGUGAGGUUCGAGGUGCUUCUGCAGACCUUAGAGUGGAAUGGCAGGACAGUGCUGGAAACCAACUUGCUGCCAAAGAGCCCCAGCUGUCAGAAAGAGGAGGAGGCGACGACGUCACCCUCCAAACUACUGUGACCAAGACCGGUCACUACCACUGUGUAGCCUCACAGAAGAAAAGCAACCAUACCAUUUCUGAGGAUACUUUUGUGCAUAUCAGUGGUGAGGUUUUUAUAUUCAAGAUAUAAUUAUUGUUUGUGUGUUAUACAUUUUUUUUAAGUUUUGAUAAAGAUAUCUGCAGUAGUUGAACAUGUUUCAAACUGAGUGAAACCUUCACUGAGGUUCUGAAUGAGAGGAUCUGGAGGGAAAUAACAGAACUGGAGUUUGGAAUCCUUUUUUAGUUGAGUAUGAACGGUUACUAAAACACACCCAGCUGUUGUGUCCAGUCCUAGCUCGCUGUAGCUAACGUCUGGGUUGUCAGUGUUGUUGUGCUGUAUUCACACAAACUGCAAGAACACAAACCGUCAAGCAAUAUUUUGGAAAGGGGGGCGUUGAGGUGCCCUUGGGGGGCGUUUGUUUGAAAGCUAGUUUAAACCAAAGAUUCCCAAUAACAAUACAUGUUUACUCUUUAAACUACUGAACCAGUGGUCAGCUCCAUUAAAAGCUGCCAGUUGACGUCACUGUGACUGG